CUACACCCUACGGGAGGCAGCAGUGGGGAAUAUUGCACAAUGGGCGCAAGCCUGAUGCAGCCAUGCCGCGUGUGUGAAGAAGGCCUUCGGGUUGUAAAGCACUUUCAGCGAUGAGGAAGGUGGUGAGCUUAAUACGUUCAUCAAUUGACGUUACUCGCAGAAGAAGCACCGGCUAACUCCGUGCCAGCAGCCGCGGUAAUACGGAGGGUGCAAGCGUUAAUCGGAAUUACUGGGCGUAAAGCGCACGCAGGCGGUUGUUAAGUCAGAUGUGAAAUCCCCGGGCUCAACCUGGGAACUGCAUUUGAAACUGGCAAGCUAGAGUCUCGUAGAGGGGGGUAGAAUUCCAGGUGUAGCGGUGAAAUGCGUAGAUGUGUAG
rnacentral:rRNA from 1 species